GGAAGAGAAUCUGCCUGCCAACGCAGGAACAAUUCAGGGAAGAUUAGCGUGGCCCCUGGGUAAGGAUGACAGGCAAAUUGGUGAACGCAUUCCAUAUUUUA
ensembl:snRNA U6 U6 spliceosomal RNA